rnacentral:rRNA from 1 species
AGCAGUAGGGAAUCUUUCCACAAUGGGCGAAAGCCUGAUGGAGCAACGCCGCGUGUGUGAUGAAGGGUUUCGGCUCGUAAAACACUGUUGUAAGAGAAGAAUGACAUUGAGAGUAACUGUUCAAUGUGUGACGGUAUCUUACCAGAAAGGAACGGCUAAAUACGUGCCAG